rnacentral:rRNA from 1 species
UACGUAGGGGGCGAGCGUUGUCCGGAUUUAUUGGGCGUAAAGAGCUCGUAGGCGGUUUGGCAAGUCGGGUGUGAAAACUCCGGCUCAACUCGGAGACGCCACUCGAUACUGCCAUGACUCGAGUCCGGUAGGGGAGUGCGGAAUUCCUGGUGUAGCGGUGAAAUGCGCAGAUAUCAGGAGGAACACCGGUGGCGAAGGCGGGUCUCUGGGCCGAUACUGACGCUGAGGAGCGAAAGCGUGGGGAGCGAACAGG